rnacentral:rRNA from 1 species
GACGGAGGAUGCAAGCGUUAUCCGGAAUUAUUGGGCGUAAAGCGUCCGCAGGUGGCAUUUCAAGUCUGCUGUCAAAGACCGGGGCUUAACCCCAGAAAGGCAGUGGAAACUGAAAAGCUAGAGAUAGGUAGGGGCAGAGGGAAUUCCCAGUGUAGCGGUGAAAUGCGUAGAGAUUGGGAAGAACACCGGUGGCGAAGGCAGCCCCCUGGGCCGACACUGACGCUCAGGCACGAAAGCCAGGGGAGCAAAAGGG